GUGCUUCGUCGUGGGGAUGAGAUCGCAACGAGGAAUGACGUUGUACGAUCCAACAUUCGCGCGUCGACGGUGACACGGUAUAAAGACUGCACGCGGUUUGUUCUACAUACACGUUACACGUGUCACGAUCGUGGAUUCAGUUCCGUUUCGUGGCAACUAAUCGUGGAUCAUUCUCGUUUGACGGUACGAGAGGCGUGUUUCCCAGGCUGUGCAACUGUGCGGUGCUAUCCCCGUUUCUCCAUCUUCCGCAUUCCUCGCUUCGAUUGGAGUAUCUCUCCGUGCACGACGAGACCGUAUAUCGACAUCGACGGUUCCACGACAACCACGGAGACCAAUAGCACCAGAUGCACAGUCCCCGAUUCGAUUGAAGGAAAGCUACAGGAAUACCAGCUGAAAUCAUCCGAAUUUGGUUAGUGACAGGCGGAGGAUGAGUUAAGCGGUGCACGAA